AGCUCCAAUAGCGUAUAUUAAAGUUGUUGCGGUUAAAAGCUCGUAGUUGGAUUUCUGUCGAAGGCGGCCGGUCCGCACUAUGUGCGUGCAUCUGGUUCGGUUUUGGCAUCCUCUUGGGGAACGUUUCUGUGCUUGAUUGCAUGGGGCGGAAUUCAAGACUUUUACUUUGAGGAAAUUAGAGUGUUCACGGCAAGCUAUCGCUUUGAAUACAUUAGCAUGGAAUAAUAAUAUAGGGCUUAAGUUCUAUUUUGUUGGUUUCUAGGACAUAAGCAAUGAUUAAUAGGGACAAUUGGGGGCAUUCGUAUUAACGCGUCAGAGGUGGAAUUCUUAGAUUGCGUUACGACGAACUACUGCGAAAGCAUUUGCCAAGGAUGUUUUCAUUGAUCAAGAACG
rnacentral:rRNA from 1 species